rnacentral:rRNA from 1 species
GACGAACGCUGGCGGCGUGCCUAAUACAUGCAAGUUGAGCGAUGAAGAUUGGUGCUUGCACCAAUUUGAAGAGCAGCGAACGGGUGAGUAACGCGUGGGGAACCUGCCUUUGAGCGGGGGACAACAUUUGGAAACGAAUGCUAAUACCGCAUAACAACUUUAAACAUAAGUUUUAAGUUUGAAAGAUGCAAUUGCAUCACUCAAAGAUGAUCUCGCGUUGUAUUAGCUAGUUGGUGAGGUAAAGGCUCAACAAGGCGAUGAUACAUAGCCGACCUGAGAGGGUGAUCGGCCACAUUGGGACUGAGACACGGCCCAAACUCCUACGGGAGGCAGCAGUAGGGGAUCUUCGGCAAUGGACGAAAGUCUGACCGGGCAACGCCGCGUGAGUGAAGGAGGUUUUCGGAUCGUAAAACUCUGUUGGUAGGGAAGAACGUUGGUGGGAGUGGAAAGCUCAUCAAGUGACGGUAACUACCCAGAAAGGGACGGCUAACUACGUG